rnacentral:rRNA from 1 species
GACGUAGGUGGCGAACGUUAUCCGGAAUUAUUGGGCGUAAAGGGUGCGUAGGUGGCCUGACAAGUUAUCAGUGGCAAAUCGAGGCUCAACCUCGUGGAAACUGGUAAUACUGUCCGGCUUGAGUACAGGAGAGGUUAACGGAACUCUAUGUGGAGCGGUAAAAUGCACAGAUAUAUAGAAGAACAUCAAUAAAGGCGAAGGCAGUUAACUAUUCUGUUACUGACGCUGAGGCACGAAAGCGUGGGGAGCAAAACGG